GAGUAAUAUAUAGUUAAUGUGCCUCGAAGACUGGGAUAGCCACUGGAAACGGUGAUUAAUACUAGAUAUACCUUUCUAACAAAAGUUAGAAUGGGAAACGUUUUUUCGCUUCGAGAUCAGACUAUAUCCUAUCAGUUAGUUGGUGAGGUAAGAGCUCACCAAGGCAAUGACGGGUAGCGGGUUUGAGAGGAUGAUCCGCCACACUGGUACUGAGACACGGACCAG
rnacentral:rRNA from 1 species